rnacentral:lncRNA from 1 species
UAUGUCUGUACCUGGUGUAAAAUGACCAAAUGUCCCCACAAGUACAGCAACACCAGUACAUUUUGACCUCGUGGAGACAUUUUUUGGUCCCUGAAAACAGCUUAUAAAUCAUACAGAAUGAAGUGUUUUGAAAAUGUAAAAAAUGCAAGUUUUGUGUGAGAGGUAGAGAUUGGUUAAGAGGAAAGCAAAUACAUUUAGUACAGUAGAAAAACCAUUACACUUAUCCCCUUAAUGAUAGGGAUACGUGAUUUUGUGUGUGUGUGUGUGUGUGUGUGUGUGUGUGAGCAUACAGAUUGUUUUCUUUAAAUUAAGUUCUAAUUUGUCUAAUCAGGUAACAUUUGAGAUCUAAUUUUGACUUAAAAACCAACUUACUACUUAUUCCCCUUAACUAGAUAGGGAGUACGUGAUUUUGUUGUUGUGUGUGUGUGUGUGUGUGUGUGUGUGAGCAUACAGAUGUUUUCUUUAAUAAGUUCAAUUUGUCUAAUCAGGUAACAUUUGAGAUCAAUUUUUGACUUCAACCUGAAUCAACUAGAGAAACAGGCUGUUGUGAACUUUGAAGUGCAAAGUGACAGUGAGGAGGAAGUGACAUCUGAUAACAAGGUCUCUCUCUCCAUCCCAGUCCAGUACGACGCCGAAAUCAUCCUCACCAGGUCAGAGGUCAAAGUAAUGCAUAGAUAACCUUUAUCUGCUUAUAAAGUGGUCAAACAUUUGAAAUAAUUACGUUUUUCUUGUAAGAAGUCUCUUCUGCUCACCAAGACUACAUUUAUUUGAUCGACAAUACAGCAAAGACAGUAAUAUUCUGAAAUAUUAUGACGAUUUAAGAUAACAGUUUUUUAUUGCAAUAUAUAUUAAAAUGUAAUUUAUUUCUGUGAUGGCAAAGCAGAAUUUUCUGCAUCAUUACUACAGUCUUCAAUGUCACAUGAUCCUUCAGAAAUCCUUUUAAUAUGCUGAUUAGCUGCUUAAUUAUUAUAGUGUAUUACUGAUGCUCAGUUAUUGAUAAUGGUUCUUAUUAUCAGUGCUGCUUUUUGAAUUGUAAUGUCAUGAUUUCCACAAAAAUAUUGAGCAGCACAACUGUCCCCUUUCGAUACUUCACUCAUACUGCAUCUGCUUAAAGAUGCUAUGGGAAAAACUCUGAACUGAAGCCUUAUUGAAUCACACAGUCAAACUGCAUGGCCAUCGGUUUGUGCAGUGG